AGUGAACGCUGGCGGUAGGCUUAACACAUGCAAGUCGAACGGCAGCACAGUAAGUGCUUGCGCUUACCGAUGGCGGGACGCGGACGGGUGAGGAAUGCAACGUACCCUACACUUUCGGGGGGGACAAGGAAGGGAGACCUACGACAAUAUCGCAUCGGACCUUGAGGUGGAGGCAGGGGGUCUUCUCGCUUUGGGCGAGGGACUGAGCCGAUGUCGGAUUAGCUAGGUGGCGGGGUAAAGGCCCACCAAGGCGACGAUCCGUAGCUGGUCUGAGAGGAUGAUCAGCCACACUGGAACUGAGACACGGUCCAGACUCCUACGGGAGGCAGCAGUGGGGAAUAUUGGACAAUGGGCGCAAGCCUGAUCCAGCCAUACCGCGUGGGUGAAGAAGGCCUUCGGGUUGUAAAGCCCUUUUGUUGGGAAAGAAAAGCAGCAGGUUAAUACCCCGCUGUUCUGACGGUACCCAAAGAAUAAGCACCGGCUAACUUCGUG
rnacentral:rRNA from 1 species